UAUGGAGACAUUGCGUUUGGUUUUGAAUCUUUGCAAUGGGGUCUCCAUGUACACUUGAAAGCCCCCGCCGCCGUCGUUUCUUGGAGCUAUUUGUGUUGGCGCUAAGGUGUAUGGUCGCAAGAAUUGGAUCUUUCAACAAGCAAAACAUACAACAACAUAACAACCUUGAAGCUCAAGGCAGCCUUGGAAUUGAAGACCAAAAUCUACAGUCUUUUGAGUCACCACCGAAAAGGGCUAGGCGCAAAUCUUUAAAAUUUGAUUGCGAUGAGGAUGCAUCCGAUAAGGAUAAAUGUAUGACUAUUUCAUUCACUUCCUGCAUUGUAUGUAAAGGCUAUUUCCCCCCACUGUGCAACUGCCCUCAAGACACACAUGCUAAUUACUGUUGCUCAAAGUUAAACAAACAAUGCCAAACAUCUAAUGACAAUAGCUUUUCUUACAGUCAAAUAAGUUAAUUUAAAAUUUGGAGAAUCAAAUACUAACUUACCAAAAUUACAACUGCAAUGGAAAAUGACUUACAAAGAUUUACCAUAUAAAUCACUUUUAUACCAUUAUGCUUUAUGACUACUAAUUUGUAGAUACCAGAUUUUUUGCACAUGGUACUUAAGUAUCAAAACUACAAAAGGUUCUAUACAACCCAUUCUGUAUGAACUGACCAAGAUUUUCCUUGCCAUGACGGAUGUGUGGUACAUGGGAAAAAAUGAUAGGAUUCAACAUCCAUCUGAUACGCAAAAAACCUGUAAUGGCUAUAAUGCAGCCUGACUGCUAUUCCUAAUCUUGGUCACUGUAUGUACCAUCUUUUGUCUACCAACGACGUUUAUGUCUUAUUUGGAAAACAAUAUCCAAAUGUCUUUUGUCUAUGCAUCAUAAUAUAUAUGUAGACCUAAUGAUAUUAAAGGCACUGU